rnacentral:sRNA from 1 species
GCGGGAGGAGGUGCCUGCAACCCGGGAGGAAGGAGAAACUGAGCCUCCUGGCAGCCAGGAUGAGGCUGGAAAGAAGGUUCCUCCUGGUUUUCUCCUGCCUCGU